UACGUAGGGGGCUAGCGUUGUCCGGAAUCAUUGGGCGUAAAGCGCGUGUAGGCGGUCCGGUAAGUCCGCUGUGAAAGUCACAGGCUCAACCUGUGAAUGCCGCUGGAAACUGUCUGGCUUGAGUCCGGAAGGGGCGAGUGGAAUUCCUGGUGUAGCGGUGAAAUGCGCAGAUAUCAGGAGGAACACCAAUGGCGAAGGCAGCUCGCUGGAACGGUACUGACGCUGAGGCGCGAAAGCGUGGGGAGCGAACAGG
rnacentral:rRNA from 1 species